ACGAACAGUCCCUGAUAAAUCACUGGAAUCAAUUUCGUGCCUAGAUAUUCAGUCCCGAAUUCCGCAGCGGAAUGCUUCUCAUCACUUCCCGAAUAGAGGGAGCUAAAUUCUAUCACCAAAAGAAGAAAUUAAAAACAAGAAACGGUAGAAGACAGGAGCGUAUAAGUAAUCAGAAACACUGAAAAUAACAUCAUCAAGACAUAAAGCAGGGUACAUGAGAGGCGGACCAACAGUCAAGAGAGACAAUGCAGAGACCUACUGUGGUUAUAGUGUUGUUGAUGAUGAUAGUGCUGACUUCUAGGAUUGAGCUGAAACCUCGUACUCUUGUUCAACCAGAAGUUGCAGCAGGAGCAGCAGCCACAGCAACCCAUCUUCACGGAUUCUCGGAUCCUCAACAAUCUCUCAAAGAAAAAAUUAUUCUGUCUCAAGAGCAGAGCAUUCAGAAGUUAAAUGAGCUGGUUCAAACUCUUAAGCAACAGUUAGAAUUCUGCAGGGCAGUGAGUAGGAAUGCUGUAAAUGACACAGGGACCUCUGUGUCUCAACAUCUGAAUGAGAUAGAGCAUCCAUGAAUUAUAGUGGACAAAUCUGUUCUGUCAGUUUGCUUUAUAUGUGAAAAUGGUUGUUUGAUGGGAUUUUGUUCGUCAGUUCAGAAGUCCAUCUUGCUAUCUGCGGAGCACAGCCUGUUAUCACAUUCGUUCAACUUCUCCUAUCAUUGAGAGCUGAGUAGCUGACACUGUUCUGGUCUGAUUAACCGUAAUUACCUGGAUAAUGUGCUCAACUUCGGAGUGAGGUGAAGCUGCACUACCAAUGAAUAUUGAUAACUUCCCCUGGAAAUCAUUUCCGGGCCAAUCCACCGAAGGCUUUUGCAGAAACAUUUUCCAGAAAAUGGUAAUAAGCCCGGUGCAAAAUGUUGUUUGCCAUCAAAUGCCUUCACACCAUAAUGUUAGGUUGUAAGAGUCCGGAGAGAACAAGUCAUGUGCUUAUGAAACAUGAGGAAUCUGCAGUCAAAAUCGAAAUUAAGACUCCCACUACACCGUACUCUGUCUCAUGGAUGAGCCACGUUGUCGAGUUUUAAACGCUUCCAGAAGGAACAGUAAUCCCAAGCCAUCCAUCUUUUGAUGCUCCAAUUAAAAAUUAGAAAAAAUUAGCAUCUUCUUCCUAUCCUUGACUAACUUUUCGAUCCUGUGGUAAUUCGCUUAGUUAAAGAAAGCCAUCAAGCUGCAGCAACUUUCCAUUUCAAUUUACGCAGAAGCAACUCGACCAUCA